GUGGGGAAUUUUGGACAAUGGGCGCAAGCCUGAUCCAGCAAUGCCGCGUGCAGGAAGAAGGCCUUCGGGUUGUAAACUGCUUUUGUACGGAACGAAAAGGCUCUGGUUAAUACCUGGGGCUCAUGACGGUACCGUAAGAAUAAGCACCGGCUAACUACGUGCCAGCAGCCGCGGUAAUACGUAGGGUGCAAGCGUUAAUCGGAAUUACUGGGCGUAAAGCGUGCGCAGGCGGUUUUGUAAGACAGAGGUGAAAUCCCCGGGCUCAACCUGGGAAUUGCCUUUGUGACUGCAAGGCUGGAGUGCGGCAGAGGGGGAUGGAAUUCCGCGUGUAGCAGUGAAAUGCGUAGAUAUGCGGAGGAACACCGAUGGCGAAGGCAAUCCCCUGGGCCUGCACUGACGCUCAUGCACGAAAGCGUGGGGAGCAAACAGGAUUAGAAACCCCGGUAGUCC
rnacentral:rRNA from 1 species